CGUUCUGUUUUCACUCAGCGGCUGGCCAGCGGUCCGUGUAUGAGGUAAACAUGGCGAUCCCUUACUGAACACCGUUCUUGUCGAUCAGAAAAUCAAAAUACCAGCAUGAUAUUGCCUCGAAGAAGAAGCAGUUGUGUUAUUUGAUUCGUACUUCACAUUUGAGUCCAAGCUUGGGUGACACAGGUUAUUUCUUAUGGUGGACUGACGAGGGGAAUUUGAACACUAGUUGUGUUUGAAUUGUUGGAAGAAAUGGUCGCAUGGGAAUGUAGGAAUGAUCUACCUGCUCGAUUUGUGUCUGCAACGCUUCAUGUUGAUAAGUCCCUCAAAAUGGCGGCCAAACUUGGAGAUUGCC
rnacentral:lncRNA from 1 species